ACCAUCUACAUUUCAAAGAAGCGACCAAGGUUCGACUCGAGCGCCAGCGAGAGAGCGUUGCCACAGGCAACGACCCGUAGGGCGAAGCGCGCAGCGCUGAGUAAUCCUUCCCCCACCACCA
rnacentral:sRNA from 1 species